UACAGGGGGUGCAACCGUUGCUCGGAAUCAUUGGGCGUAAAGCGCACGUAAGCGGUCUGUUAUGUCGGAUGUGAAAUCCCCGGGCUUAACCUGGGAAUGGCAUUUGGGACUCCAAGGCUUGAGUGCGGCAGAGGAGACUGGAAUUCCUGGUGUAGCAGUGAAAUGCGUAGAUAUCAGGAGGAACACCGGUGGCGAAGGCGGUUCUCUGGGCAUGUCCUGACGCUGAGGAGCGAAAGCGUGGGGAGCGAACAGG
rnacentral:rRNA from 1 species